UAGAUGCGAGAGUAGAGCAUAUCAAUAAGCGGAGGAAAAGAAACUAACAAGGAUUCCCUUAGUAACGGCGAGUGAAGCGGGAAGAGCUCAAAUUUGAAAUCUUCAAGGUUCUACCUUGACGAAUUGUAGUUUAUAGAAGUGUUUUCUGUUAGUGGAGUGGCAAAAGUUCUUUGGAAUAGGACAUCAUAGAGGGUGAGAAUCCCGUAUUUGGUCAUUCCUCCUAGCGUUGUGAUACACUUUCAACGAGUCGGAUUGUUUGGGAAUGCAGUCCAAAAUGGGUGGUAAAUUUCAUCUAAAGCUAAAUAUUGGCGAGAGACCGAUAGCGAACAAGUACCGUGAGGGAAAGAUGAAAAGAACUUUGAAAAGAGAGUUAAACAGUACGUGAAAUUGUCAAAAGGGAAGCGUUUGACACCAGUGUUGUUUUUCCGAAAAUCAAUUACGAAUGUUUUAUUUUUGAGGAGUUAUGACUUCAUCGGCUUGCUCCUUUCUUUAUGAAACUUUCUUAAUGCACUUUUCGGUUAACAAGUCAACAUCAAUUUCUUUUGUUGUAAAAGGGUAUGAGGAAGGUGGCUUUCUUUUCGGAGAAAGUGUUUAUAGCCUUGUGCCUCUGCAAUCGGAGAGAUUGAGGUCUGCAGCGUAGAUCCUUCGGGGUUAGAUACGUUUGUGCUAAGUUAUAGCUUUUCAUAGACAACUUGUUGACUAUGUUUAGUCUUGUAGCUUACUCGCUUAUGCUAUUUUACCUACGCUUAGGAUGUUGACGAGACUGUCGAUCUC
rnacentral:rRNA from 1 species